GACGAACGCUGGCGGCGUGCCUAACACAUGCAAGUCGAACGAGGUCCAAGGAAGCUUGCUUCCUGACGACCUAGUGGCGAACGGGUGAGUAACACGUGAGAAACCUGCCUCGGAGUGGGGAAUAACUCGGGGAAACUCGAGCUAAUACCGCAUAUCUUCACAUGAUCGCAUGGUCGAGUGAAGUAAGAAUUUCGCUCUGAGAGGGUCUCGCGGCCUAUCAGCUUGUUGGUGGGGUAACGGCCCACCAAGGCAACGACGGGUAGCUGGUUUGAGAGAACGAUCAGCCACACUGGGACUGAGACACGGCCCAGGCUCCUACGGGAGGCAGCAGUGGGGAAUCUUGCGCAAUGGGCGAAAGCCUGACGCAGCAACGCCGCGUGCGGGAUGACGGCCUUCGUGGUUGUAAACCGCUUUCAGCAGGGACGAAAAUGACGGUACCUGCAGAAGAAGCCCCGGCUAACUACGUGCCAGCCGCCGCAGUAA
rnacentral:rRNA from 1 species